rnacentral:misc_RNA from 1 species
AACUUUUAGCAAUGGAUCACUUGGUUCUCCCAUCGAUGAAGAACGCAGCGAAACGCGAUAUGUAAUGUGAAUUGCAGAAUUCAGUGAAUCAUCGAAUCUUUGAACGCACCUUGCGCCCUUUGGUAUUCCGAAGGGCAUGCCUGUUUGAGUGUCAUGAAGUCUUCAACCUCCAUCGGUUUUUACAAGCCGGUGCCGUGGUUGGUCCUGGACGAUCAGCCUAGCCUGGCUCGCCCUAAAUACAUUAGCUGGAAGGCCCCAUGUCCGGCUCAGCGUGAUAAUUCAUUUGCUGGCUGCCAACUGUGGGUCAUGCCGCUUCCAACCCUCCUUCAGUGGAGAACUUUUUGUCAGUUUGGCCUCAAAUCAGGUAGGACUACCCGCUGAACUUAAGCAUAUCAAUAAGCGGAGGCU